CACAGCCAGGAUGAGCUGGUGGAUGGAGCUGCUGCCAGCAGGCCAGUGCUACACAAGCCUCUUCUUGUAUCACAACCCAUGGAUCUAGCCCAAGGAAGUCAACCUAGCUCUUGAGGAUGGUCAUACCCAUCCAGCAUCCAAGCUGAAACCAGACAUCACUGCAGUGAUUUAUUCACUCUUGACUCACCAAGGUGAGGGCAUCACUAGCCAAAGAGAACACCAAAGCUUUCUCCAACAUGCACAGCACAUGCCAGUCAAUGCUGCUUACGGAGCUCAUGCAUUCAGCCAGCCCUUGGAGAAGCACUGCACAGACCGGGGAGGCUGUGCUCCAGAUAAAAGCAGCUUCAUCAUCUCACUACUGCUAGAAGCUUCAUUCAAAAAGAAAGCAUAG